rnacentral:ribozyme from 13 species
AGGAGCAGCAAGUUCCCCCAUCCAAAAGGAUGAAAACAGAAUUUGUUUAACUUAGAUUUUCUUUUUCCUUGUAAAGUUUUUACCAAUUUUAAAAUAAAAAAAA